UGGGGAAUCUUGCACAAUGGGGGCAACCCUGAUGCAGCGACGCCGCGUGAGCGAUGAAGCCCUUCGGGGCGUAAAGCUCUUUCGACCGGAACGAUAAUGACGGUACCGGGAGAAGAAGCUGCGGCUAACUACGUGCCAGCAGCCGCGGUAAUACGUAGGCAGCAAGCGUUGUUCGGAGUUACUGGGCGUAAAGAGUGCGUAGGCGGUUUUCUAAGUUCGGUGUGAAAUCUCCCGGCUUAACUGGGAGGGUGCGCCGAAGACUGGGAAGCUGGAGUGUGGGAAAGGCAGGCGGAAUUCCUGUUGUAGCGGUGAAAUGCGUAGAUACCGGGAGGAACACCGGCGGUGUAGACGGCUUGCUAGACCAUAACUGACGCUGAGGCACGAAAGCGUGGGUAGCAAACA
rnacentral:rRNA from 1 species